GCGUGACAAUCGGUCUGCGCGGGCGCAGUGGCGGCAGCCGCUGCACCCGCGUGGCUAGAAGCCCACGGUCUGCAGGCGAGUUGAGGUUUCAGGUCAUUCCAGCUUCGGCCGUGGGGCCCCGCUCAGACGCGCGCCUGUCUCCUGGUGAAAUCCUGGAGGCUAUCCUUUCCACCGUCCUGUCUGCACGAGGAGGACACGGGGGUCAGCUUCCUGGGAGAAGGGAGUCGUCCGGAUGGCUGGUCCCCGGAGGGGUGACUUACUGCAUGAACAUCGAAAUCAGAUGAACCCUGACGGCGACAGCGAUGGUGCACGGGCCCCUCACCCCGAUACCCAGGACCCAGAGAGGAUCGGCUGGAAGUGAUGGACACGAAACCACCGCCCCCCGCCCCGGAUAAAGUGGCAGGAGCAGCGACACGAGGAGGUGCUGCUCUAAGAACCAGGAAGAAGUGGUCUUCUCCCCAAGCCCUUGGAUAAUAACACUGUAGCCCACCCGAUGCUUGGCAGAGCCUCCUUGCCUGCCCGCUCGCAUCUCUCACAAGCCUCCUGUUUUAGUAAGUCCACUUCUUGUCUAUCACUUGGUCUCUCGCUGAUCUUCUGCACAAAAAACCUGAGCCUCAGUAAGUCCAGACACGGGCUGAGUGGUCUUAAUUUAAAAACCAUAGGUUCAAGCCCCCAUCUGGGUUCUGUCUGGGUUCAGGUGUUGUCAGUUUCAGGGGUAGUGGAGAGAAAGAGGUUUGCUUGUUUUUUUUGUUUGUUUUUUGUUUUUUAAUGGCUGCAACCCCAACAUAUGGAGGUUCCCAGGCUAGGGGUCUAGUUCGAGCUGUCGCCACUGGCCUACACCACAGCAA
rnacentral:lncRNA from 1 species